AUUGAACGCUGGCGGCAUGCUUUACACAUGCAAGUCGAACGGUAACAGGCCGCAAGGUGCUGACGAGUGGCGAACGGGUGAGUAAUGCAUCGGAACGUGCCCAGUCGUGGGGGAUAACGCAGCGAAAGCUGCGCUAAUACCGCAUACGAUCUCUGGAUGAAAGCGGGGGACCGAAAGGCCUCGCGCGAUUGGAGCGGCCGAUGUCAGAUUAGGUAGUUGGUGGGGUAAAGGCCCACCAAGCCAACGAUCUGUAGCUGGUCUGAGAGGACGACCAGCCACACUGGGACUGGGACACGGCCCAGACUCCUACGGGAGGCAGCAGUGGGGAAUUUUGGACAAUGGGCGCAAGCCUGAUCCAGCAAUGCCGCGUGCAGGAAGAAGGCCUUCGGGUUGUAAACUGCUUUUGUACGGAACGAAACGGUCCGGGCUAAUACCCUGGGCUAAUGACGGUACCGUAGGAAUAAGCACCGGCUAACUACGUGCCAGCCGCCGCCGUAAUAC
rnacentral:rRNA from 1 species